rnacentral:rRNA from 1 species
CGCCUGAUUAGUGGCGAACGGGUGAGUAACACGUGAGUAACCUGCCCUUCACUCUGGGAUAACCUCGGGAAAUCGGGGCUAAUACCGGAUAUGAGUUCCUGCCGCAUGGUGGGGAUUGGAAAGUUUUUCGGUGAAGGAUGGGCUCGCGGACUAUCAGUUUGUUGGUGAGGUAGUGGCUCACCAAGGCGAUGACGGGUAGCCGGCCUGAGAGGGCGACCGGCCACACUGGGACUGAGACACGGCCCAGACUCAUACGGGAGGCAGCAGUGGGGAAUAUUGCACAAUGGGCGAAAGCCUGAUGCAGCGACGCCGCGUGAGGGAUGACGGCCUUCGGGUUGUAAACCUCUUUCAGCAGGGAAGAAGCGAAAGUGACGGUACCUGCAGAAGAAGCGCCGGCUAACUACGUGCCAGCAGCCGCGGUAAUACGUAGGGCGCAAGCGUUGUCCGGAAUUAUUGGGCGUAAAGAGCUUGUAGGUGGCUUGUCGCGUCUGCCGUGAAAACCCGAGGCUCAACCUCGGGCGUGCGGUGGGUACGGGCAGGCUAGAGUGUGGUAGGGGAGACUGGAACUCCUGGUGUAGCGGUGAAAUGCGCAGAUAUCAGGAAGAACACCGAUGGCGAAGGCAGGUCUCUGGGCCAUUACUGACACUGAGAAGCGAAAGCAUGGGGAGCGAACAGGAUUAGAUACCCUGGUAGUCCAUGCCGUAAACGUUGGGCACUAGAUGUGGGGA